ensembl:lncRNA LINC00595 long intergenic non-protein coding RNA 595
AGAACGAGCAGUCCCUCUCCUGGAGGAGCCUGCCUUCCCACCACGGAGGCUAACACCACAACAGCCACAGUGAGCCACCCCUUCUGCCCAUCUUCUUACGUGUCAAGCACUGUGUUCAGUGCCUUCACAGAUCAAAACCUAAAAAGGUGGGAAUGAAAGAAGCUCCUAACCCUCCUGGCUUUUUUCCCAAAGCCAGGAGGCAGCUCCUGAAUGGUGGAUUUUGGACUACUGGUGAGGCUGUCAGCAAAGGGCCUGGCCCAGAGAGAUGCUCAAGAGUAGGAUGAAAAGACCGUGGGCUUCUUCCUCUGCAAAAGGAAAGGUUUGGGACUGAUGGAUGCUGAAAAGUCUAGAUCUUCAUAAUCCUCAACAGCUUCACUGCCACUGCACACACAAAAUGAGUGUGCCCUAUAUUUCCAGCCCUCUGAUGAAUACGAAAAGAGCCUGAAGAACUCAUCUUCCUGGUCGCAAAGUACUUUAAAAUAUAUAAUCCCUCAAUCUUAAACAUACACAUUUUAUUGCUUUUUAUUAUACAAUAAUACAUAUUUACUAUUGAAAAUACAGAUAAGAAAAAAGAAAAUGGUUCAUAAUAAUACUACCCAGGUUUAAAAAAUACUAUUCAGCCUUAUGUUGAAGAAUCUGACUCUUUUCCUAUGCAAGCAUGUAUUUCAAGCAAAACUGGACACUUCAUGUGUACCUUGUUUUGUGAUCUUUUUUUCCCAAAUUAAUAUAUAAUCAAUAUCUUUUUGUAUCAAUCUUCAAUCCUUUCUUCUGUCACUUAUUUUUAAUGGUUAACAGUCAUCUACUAUAUAGAUAUUCUGUAAUUUAUUAAAGUGAUCCCUCAUUCUUGAAUACUGAA